GGCGGGUCGAUCCGGGCG
rnacentral:snRNA from 1 species